rnacentral:sRNA from 1 species
GUCACCACUGCCCAGUACAGCUUCUGGCUCUAUGAGCUCUGUGACGUCUACUUGGUGAGAAGGAGCAGAGCGGGGCAGGAGAUGGUGGGGGCAGGUGGGCAGCAGAGCCCUGGGCUCAGUUUUGCCAGAGUUGGCCUUGAGACCUAAGCCAACCCAUCCCCUUCCCAGUCCUCACAGGCACAGCGAGGGCUCAAGGCUAGAUCUCCAGCCAUGAGCCCUGUACCUCUCAUCCCCUAGGAGUGCCUGAAACCUGUACUGAAUGGGGUGGACCAGGUGGCAGCCGAGUGUGCCCGCCAGACCCUGUACACUUGCCUGGACAUUGGCCUGCGGCUGCUCUCACCCUUCAUGCCCUUCGUGACGGAGGAGCUGUUCCAGAGGCUGCCCCGGAGGAUGCCGCAAGCUCCCCCUAGCCUCUGUGUUACCCCCUACCCGGAGCCCUCAGAGGUAUGGCAUAGCCUGGAGAGGGGAGUCUCACCUGCCCUCCAGGCCCCCUCACCCCCUCCUCCACCCCACAGUGCUCCUGGAAGGACCCUGAGGCAGAAGCCGCCCUUGAGCUGGCGCUAAGCAUCACGCGAGCCGUGCGCUCCCUGCGGGCCGACUACAACCUCACCCGGAUCCGGCCUGACUGUUUCCUGGAAGUGGCGGAUGAGGCCACGGGCGCCCUGGCAUCGGCGGUAUCGGGCUACGUGC